rnacentral:rRNA from 1 species
UACGGGGGGGGCAAGCGUUGUUCGGAAUUACUGGGCGUAAAGGGCGCGUAGGCGGUUUGUUAAGUUGGAUGUGAAAACUGUGGGCUCAACCUGCAGCCUGCAUCCAAUACUGACAGGCUAGAGUUCUGGAGGGGAUAGCGGAAUUCCUGGUGUAGCGGUGAAAUGCGUAGAUAUCAGGAGGAACACCGGUGGCGAAGGCGGCUAUCUGGACAGAGUCUGACGCUGAGGCGCGAAAGCUAGGGGAGCAAACAGG